CAAUGUUUCCGAGUUCGUAGACCAUUUGGGACCCAAUUUCAACAAGUCUUUCUCAACACAUCUAAACACUCUUCAUGCAUCUUUAGUACUUGUAAUCUAUCAAAUUUAUUGUAUUCUAACAUAUUCUAACCCCAAACAACACUAGAUAAGUCAUUUAGUGGUUCAACGCAAUGUUUCCAAGUUCUUAGCCCAUUUGGGACNNN
rnacentral:lncRNA from 1 species